AGGACGAACGCUGGCGGCGUGCUUAACACAUGCAAGUCGAGCGGAAAGGCCCUUCGGGGUACUCGAGCGGCGAACGGGUGAGUAACACGUGAGUAAUCUGCCCCUAGCUCUGGGAUAGCUCCGGGAAACCGGGAUUAAUACCGGAUACGACCACUUUAGACAUCUUUUUUGGUGGAAAGAAUUUCGGCUAGGGAUGAGCUCGCGGCCUAUCAGCUUGUUGGUGGGGUAACGCCUACCAAGGCGACGACGGGUAGCCGGCCUGAGAGGGCGACCGGCCACACUGGGACUGAGACACGGCCCAGACUCCUACGGGAGGCAGCAGUGGGGAAUAUUGCGCAAUGGGCGAAAGCCUGACGCAGCGACGCCGCGUGGGGGAUGAAGGCCUUCGGGUUGUAAACCCCUUUCAGCAGGGACGAAGCGAAAGUGACGGUACCUGCAGAAGAAGCACCGGCCAACUACGUGCCAGCAGCCGC
rnacentral:rRNA from 1 species